UAGGGAAUCUUCGGCAAUGGGGGGAACCCUGACCGAGCAACGCCGCGUGAGUGAAGAAGGUUUUCGGAUCGUAAAGCUCUGUUGUUAAGGAAGAACGAGUGUGAGAAUGGAAAGUUCAUACUGUGACGGUACUUAACCAGAAAGGGACGGCUAACUACGUGCCAGCAGCCGCGGUAAUACGUAGGUCCCGAGCGUUGUCCGGAUUUAUUGGGCGUAAAGCGAGCGCAGGCGGUUAGAUAAGUCUGAAGUUAAAGGCAGUGGCUCAACCAUUGUAGGCUUUGGAAACUGUUUAACUUGAGUGCAGAAGGGGAGAGUGGAAUUCCAUGUGUAGCGGUGAAAUGCGUAGAUAUAUGGAGGAACAACGGUGGCGAAAGCGGCUCUCUGGUCUGUAACUGACGCUGAGGCUCGAAAGCGUGGGGAGCGAACAGG
rnacentral:rRNA from 1 species